rnacentral:rRNA from 1 species
AAAGAUUAAGCCAUGCAUGUCUAAGUAUAGCAAUUAUACAGCGAAACUGCGAAUGGCUCAUUAUAUAAGUUAUCGUUUAUUUGAUAGUACCUUACUACUUGGAUAACCGUGGUAAUUCUAGAGCUAAUACAUGCUAAAAAUCCCGACUUCGGAAGGGAUGUAUUUAUUAGAUUAAAAACCAAUGCCCUCCGGGGCUCACUGGUGAUUCAUGAUAACUUCUCGAAUCGCAUGGCCUUGCGCCGGCGAUGGUUCAUUCAAAUUUCUUCCCUAUCAACUUUCGAUGUUUGGGUAUUGGCCAAACAUGGUUG